rnacentral:rRNA from 1 species
UUAUAUGCUUGUCUCAAAGACUAAGCCAUGCAUGUGAAAGUACAGACCCGCAAGCUCUGCUUGCUAUCGAAACGUACGGCAAAACUGCGAAAGGCUCAUUAGAUCAGUUAUGGUUCCUUGGGCGGUACGGUUUACUUGGAUAACUCUGGUAAUUCUAGAGCUAAUACAUGCACAAAGCUCCGGCACGGCAUCACGUCCGAGCAAAGGAGCGCGUUUAUCAGCUUCGAUGCAAAAAGUGGUUCGUCGGUCCGACUCGUUCGGCCGGCAUCCGACUCAGACGUCAGUUUUUGUCUUUCCCUCUUUUCCAUAUGCGUGUUGAAUCUGGAUAAUCGUCGCGGAUCGCUCAGUCCGUUCGCGGGCGGCGACGCGCGCAUCAAGUGUCUGACUCAUCAACUUUCGACGGUCGGUGAUAUGCUUACCGUGGUUGUCACGAGUGACGGGGGAUCAGGGUUCGGUUCCGGAGAGGGAGCAUGCGAAACGGCUACCACAUCCAAGGAAGGCAGCAGGCGCGCAAAUUACCCAUUCUUGACCAGAGGAGGUAGUGACGAAAAAUAACGGUGCGGUCCUUUCGUGAGGCGCCGUAAUCGGAAUGAUUGCGACACAAAACAUCGUAAGAGGAUCUAGUGGAGGGCAAGUCUGGUG